AAAAAAAGAAAAGAAAAAGAAAAAAAUUCUCCAAAAUUAUUAAUUAGGACUUUUUGGUACUGUUAUUAUACUGUGCAAAGAGUACUUUUUCCAUAUUGGGACUUUGAGUUUAUUUUAAAGUUUUAAUCAUUAAACCGAGAACAUAUUUGGAAUAAAGUAUUUAAAUAAUGUAAAACAUUUAUUUUUUUUGAGAAGCAAAAAAAAUUACUUCUGUACUUUUUUUUUUUUUCUUAAUCAAACCCAGGAGGAAAAACCUUGCUUGUAGCAAGUGGCACUGGGAGAAGCACUUUACAAUACAAGAGGACAGUAUACAAAUGUCACACUAUAUUAUAGGAUUAAAGGAUAAACAAUAUAUUGAGAAUAAUUGAGAGAUUUCUAAAACUAAUUUCUGUUUUUCUUAUACAGUAAAACUACGUACAUGUUAUAAAUGAAAUCAAAUUACUUUAGAGCCUCAAAUGUUUAUAUAUCGGGCGUUAGUAUGUAACCGGAGCAUUUGAUUUGUCUUCUACCGUAACGUUUAUGGUACAUUAAUCUCUAGCUAUUCUAAAUAAAAAUAUUGAUUAUAUUAUUUGCCGUCAAAAUGCAAAUGUUGAUUAAGAUAUAUUUACAUAUAAAUGCUGUGACUGCCUCCCCACCCAAAAAAAAAAGUUUAGUUUUUUUUUUUUAAUUUUGUUCUUAAACACUAUUUAAGUAACAUUUCCUUUUUUAUACAGCUUGUUUUCAUGCCACAAGAUUGGCAGGGCUAAACAGCAAAAUUGCAUACCCUUCUUGCUUAAUUUUGCAUUUCCCCAAGGUGUUUUAAUACUAGAGACAUUGGGGGUGUUCUUAAACGUUCAAUAAGGUAUGGAAUUUUAACUUCAAAAUGAGUUCUGGGUACGUAAUAAAUAGUGUAGCGUACGAUUACUCACAAAGUGAUCAACCAAUACUAUGUCGUGAUUUAAAACGUGGUCUGCUAUUGGUUCUUGGGUGAAUGUCUACAACUGAACUGGCCAGCCACCCAAUCAGUAUUUCUCUUUUCAGUGAAACAUAGAUAUUUAUAUUUCCCACCUCUACACAUACAUUUUAAUCUACAGCUGCUACAAUUAUCCUUUAUACAAAAACAAAAGUUGUCCAACUCAAUUGUCUUGCAGUUGUCCAGGCAGAUGCUAAAGAUGCAGUGUGGAGUGAUAUGGAGCUUAUUGGUUGGUGGUCCAAGGCUGAAGAUCUUGUAGGCGAAGAUAUAAUCAAUACAUAGCAAAGAGUCUCUUUUGAAAGCUGUGUCCAGUGUGUCUAUACCAUUGCUACUUACCCAUAAUUUUGCAUUAUUGUAUUGAAUUAAGACAUAUCCCGCAUGACUGCCUUUGUUCCGUAGCUCCCCUUACCCAAAGCACAUUUUUCGGUCAAAUCUUUUUGUAUAAAUUGUUUCUUGAUAUUUGCUUUGGUUCCACAUUUAAGUAGGCUUUCAUUUACAUGGCAUGUAACCAAGUAUUCUGGUGAGGUCCAAGAGUGAUUACAGAUUUCAUUAUUUAAAAAUAAGACCCCUUCACGGACGAUGUUUCUCCAAACACAAGGUGCAUUAUUUUGUCGACCUUUUAUUAGCGGACAGAGAUGCAUGCGAGUAUUCUUAAAAAAGUUUUUUUUUUU